rnacentral:lncRNA from 1 species
UUCUUCUUCUACUUCCUUCCAAUUUUUUGUCAAUCCUUCAUUUUUUUCUUUAUCUUUAAGUAAGAUUUUCGAAUUCUCUUACAAAUCUCUAUUAGUCACUUGAAAAAAAGGUCCACUUUACUUAGAUCCAAUAAUUACAACUCUUUCUUUGAUAAACAAAAAUAUUUCUUUUUAAAAUCUUUUAAUAAUUUUGUUGCUAGAAGAUCCUUCUUAAUCCUUUCAAUCCAUUCAAAAAAUGACUUCUUUGUAAUCCAAUUACUAUCUUUUAAGAAAAAUUCAUCUUUCAAUAUUUGUAAAAAUUUCUUCCAUGAUCCUCUAAAAUUUUCUAUAAUGGACUUUAUUUGAUUUCUUAUCUCUAAUAUAAUAGCCAAUUCAAAUAAUUUAACCAUCUUUUUUUUUAAAACAUGCUUUAAUUCCAUCUCUUUUACAAAAUACUUUAGAUUGAUCAAUCUUGUCUAGAAUUACUUAUAAUGCUUUGUUUGUCAUACCCUCUUUAUAAUCUUUAAUUUAUUAUUGUUGCAUGAAUAGGGCAAAAGCCUCAAAUAUGCUUGCAAAAUUGAGAUUAAAAUACAUACCUUUUCCUCCACUUAUAACUCUACUUCCAACUCCACUUCAAGUACCAUCAAAAGCCUUUCCUUCCAUUUUCUGGCCUACCUUCUCUAGAAUUCAAAUAAACCAAAAAUAAUUCUAAACACCUUCCA